UACGAAGGGUGCAAGCGUUACUCGGAAUUACUGGGCGUAAAGGGUGCGUAGGUGGUUUGUUAAGUCUGCUGUGAAAUCCCCGGGCUCAACCUGGGAAUGGCAGUGGAUACUGGCAAGCUAGAGUGCGGUAGAGGGUAGUGGAAUUCCCGGUGUAGCAGUGAAAUGCGUAGAUAUUGGGAAGAACACCGGUGGCGAAGGCGGCUCACUGGCUCAUUACUGACGCUCAGGCGCGAUAGCGUGGGGAUCAAACAGG
rnacentral:rRNA from 1 species